CUUUAUGAGAAUUAAUCGUUUUUCUUUUAUACAAAAUAAGUAGUUAUUUGCCUGAAGUGGUUCUGAUUUUGAGCAGUUAAUGAUGACCUCUUGACCGAUGAGAACGAACAGAGGAAAGCUUGAAAAUGUUAAAUCAUGAUACAAUUUCAAAUUUCAAAGCUAUGGAAUUAUUUUGAAUCGAAUUGGAAACAUACCAGCGACUGAGGCACAAUUUUCUGAGUGGUCAUCAUCACCAUGGAUCAAUCACUCUCGAUAACACUUUAAAUAGCAUCCCCCGUAGCACUCGCGACGAUAUCGGUGGAUUUUAGAAACCACUGACAUCUGCGUUCCUUCACUUUGCCAGCUUUUAUAUACCCCAUACUAGCUGUAUGCAAGGACGAUGCUUUUUUCCCCCCUCUCUAAUCAUUGAUUGUCAUAGAAGUCGCGAAGAUCACAAAUCUUGUGUUCAUUCUUUGAAUAAUCUCGUGUUUAGGUCUCUUAUUUUUUUUUUUUUU